AAUAGGCUAGAUUAUUAUAUUAACUUUCUAAAAAUGAAGUCCAUUAAUUUCAUCAACCGCCCCAGUUAAAUUUUCCCUCCAUUUACUUCUAUUGUCGGAAAAUAAAGCUUCAAGGGGUCUUCUCGUCCUUCUACUGUAUCUCUUCUUUUUCAAAGAAAAAUUAAAUUAAACUAUUCAAAUUGAGACAAUAUUAAGUUCAUUAACCCUAUCAUUCCAUCUUACAAUUAAUAAGCUAAUUAUUAUGCUACCUUUGCAA
rnacentral:rRNA from 1 species